rnacentral:tRNA from 1 species
GCCGAGGUAGCCAAGCGGCCUACGGCGCCGGUCUUGAAAACCGGUGGGGCUUUGCCCCACGGGAGUUCAAAUCUCCCCCUCGGCGCCA